AGAGGGAGGCUCAUCAAGCCCUAACACUCAUUCAUCCGCUCUCGUUUGUUUGAUCUAUUUCCAUCGAGUAACCCUCCACGACAAAGAAGAUACAGAUAGGAAAGUAUAUGUGAAUUUGGACACACUAACUAAUAGUCGUUGGAUUGAGUCAUAGAGAUCCAACGGUGAAAGGCACGUUUUGUUAAGACAUCACCCUCCCAGCCUCCACUCCACCGUCGCAUUUCCUCUCGCCGUCUCAACUCGUUCUCACUCUAGGAUUUGAAGUCGAAGAUUUGUUGUUCGUUCAGGAACAAUGACUCGCUCAAGCAAAACAAUUUAUGUCGGAAAUCUUCCUGGUGAUAUUCGCGAGAGGGAAGUUGAAGAUCUGUUUUACAAGGUCUUUGACGUUUUGCAACCGACUAUACAUUUGAUGAGGAAUCACUGCGAAUCUCUUCUAUUUAUUGUUCGACAGAAUGUCCACAAGGAUUUUGCAGCUAAUACCAUUAGAGAUUAGUGACCACAUCACUUAUUCUUAGGUGUGGCAAGGGCUAGGAAAGGAAGCUGUUGUCAUGAUGAUGGAAUUUGCAGUUGAGAAUAUAGGGAUACAUGUCUUUACCACUAAAAUUGGGGAUUUAAAUUAAGCUUCUCUUCAUAUGUUUCAAAAACUGGGAUUCGAAAAAGUUUCUCACAGUCAUGUCUUCAAAGAGAGGUCCUAGGAAAGGAAGCUGUUGUCAUGAUGAUGGAAUUUGCAGUUGAGAAUAUAGGGAUACAUGUCUUUACCACUAAAAUUGGGGAUUUAAAUUAAGCUUCUCUUCAUAUGUUUCAAAAACUGGGAUUCGAAAAAGUUUCUCACAGUCAUGUCUUCAAAGAGAGGUCCUAGGAAAGGAAGCUGUUGUCAUGAUGAUGGAAUUUGCAGUUGAGAAUAUAGGGAUACAUGUCUUUACCACUAAAAUUGGGGAUUUAAAUUAAGCUUCUCUUCAUAUGUUUCAAAAACUGGGAUUCGAAAAAGUUUCUCAUAGUCAUGUCUUCAAAGAGGUAAGCUCCUCUUUUUUUCUUUUCUUUUUUAUCUAUUUGAGGACUAAUAUUACUUGAAUCUAGCAUUCCUAUAUAAAUAUGAAUUGAAUGGUGAGAUAGUGUGCACCAUAUUUCUUAGAGGUCCUAGGAAAGGAAGCUGUUGUCAUGAUGAUGGAAUUUGCAGUUGAGAAUAUAGGGAUACAUGUCUUUACCACUAAAAUUGGGGAUUUAAAUUAAGCUUCUCUUCAUAUGUUUCAAAAACUGGGAUUCGAAAAAGUUUCUCACGGUCAUGUCUUCAAAGAGCAAUGACGCUUUCAACUGAAUGUGUCUAACAUUCAACAAGGAAAGUAGGUUGGACCAUGUCUCAAAAUAUACAAUAUCAUCAAAGAAACCUAAGAACUGAUGUAUUCAUGAAUGUUAAAAUGGAGGUUGAAGUCUCAAGCUCACUUCAAUCGGACAUGCCUUAGUAUAGGAGGAAGAUGAGAAUUCCAGAUUGAAUCUCUGCUGCCAUCAAAUCACAUUACGUCGACAAAAGGAUUGUUGGAUGCCUUGGUGGUGAAGAUGACGAGCAUGAAUGUUGUUUGGUUUUGGCUAGAGAAAGAAAAGGCACACAAAUGUACUGUCUUCUCACAAUAUUUUGAGAUGAUACAUCGGCAUAUUUUGAAAUGAAUGGGAUACACCAAAGGAAGAACUCAUGGCAUGAUGGAGAAUUAUGAACAAAUUGUCCUAUAUCGUCUAGUUGGAGUUGGACUUAUCAGUUCCAGAAUGGAUUAUGGGGUAUGGAUGGAGAAUAGUAGAUGAACUUACCAUAAAUGUGAUGUAGUUGCUCGUUGCACGACCCAGGUAAAAUACCAUUCUAGUAAGAUUUGAAAACUAAGUUAAAGUUUGGAAAAUUUUAAUUUAUAUAAAAUGAUAAGUGUACCUAGGAGCAUAGACAACCAUUUUAGUUUAUCUUAAUAACCUUCGAAUGUGAAAUAUUCGUACGGAGAGCCUUGAUUCGUGGUAUUUGGGGGCAAGAAAGUUAUGUGAGCAUUGUUAACCCUAAGAAAGAUUAGAGGGAGGUUUCAAUGGUUUUACUGAAAUCAAAAUAAUGAUUUUGAAUAUGCCAUUUUAUUGUUGUC